GAUGAACGCUGGCGGCGUGCUUAACACAUGCAAGUCGAACGGAAAGGCCCAAGCUUGCUUGGGUACUCGAGUGGCGAACGGGUGAGUAACACGUGGGUGAUCUGCCCUGCACUUCGGGAUAAGCCUGGGAAACUGGGUCUAAUACUGGAUAGGACCACUUCUUGGAUGUUGUGGUGGAAAGUUUUUUCGGUGUGGGAUGAGCUCGCGGCCUAUCAGCUUGUUGGUGGGGUAAUGGCCUACCAAGGCGUCGACGGGUAGCCGGCCUGAGAGGGUGUACGGCCACAUUGGGACUGAGAUACGGCCCAGACUCCUACGGGAGGCAGCAGUGGGGAAUAUUGCACAAUGGGCGCAAGCCUGAUGCAGCGACGCCGCGUGGGGGAUGACGGCCUUCGGGUUGUAAACUCCUUUCGCUAGGGACGAAGCGUUUUGUGACGGUACCUGGAGAAGAAGCACCGGCUAACUACGUGC
rnacentral:rRNA from 1 species